UAUGCCCUUAAGCCAUAGAGGGGUUAAUGGUUUAGGAGGUUUGGGAGCUACAAUUAUUGACGCUUUAGACACGGCUAUGAUUAUGGGAGCUGAUGAAGUCGUUCAUGAAGCAGGCUCGUGGAUUGAGAAACAUCUUCCUGAGAGGAUUGAAAAGAAAGGCCAAGUAAAUCUCUUUGAAACUACAAUACGACUUCUAGGUGGUCUUUUGAGUGCUUAUCACUUAAGUGGUGGAAGUCAAGGGAGAAUUCCAGAACAGAAAGGGCCUAAUCCAUCUAUUUACCUGGAAAAUGCUAAGAACUUGGCUGAUCGCCUACUUACUGCUUUUACAGCAAGUCCAUCCGAUAUUCCAUACAGUGAUGUAGUCCUGCGUGAAAAGUCUGCACAUCCUGCUCCUGAUGGUCUGAGUAGCACUGCGGAAGUUGCAACUAUACAGCUUGAAUUUAAUUAUCUUAGUUAUUUAACAGGUGAUCCAAAG
rnacentral:misc_RNA from 1 species